UUUUCCCCGUGCAAUUUAGUGGCUAAAAUUAAACGCGAAAAAAGGAAUUUUUAUGGAACAGCUGUAUUCGCCAUUCUGUGGAAGCGAAGUGGAGGGGUAAAAACAAGAAAAAGAGAAGAAGGAGGUGGAAAAACAAGGCUCCUUUAGGCCUAAUCAUCAUUUCAGAAAACGGCAAUGAGAUCAACCAGUCAUGAUUUUGAAGCGUUCCCCAAUGAAUUCCGUAGACCUCUCCUAAACUGCGUCGUCCACUCUUAUAGAACUUUCCGUUGAGCAUACUUACCACCAUCCACCACCGUGAGUUUUAGAGCAUCUUUUGUUAUUCUUGUCGCUUGUGCUGAACUUAAGUGGCAAUGGUCCUGUUAGAGAAAAUGAAUCACCGGCUGUGCC